rnacentral:tRNA from 1 species
UAAAUCCUCUUUUUUUUUUUUUUAGU